GAUGAACGCUGGCGGCGUGCCUAAUACAUGCAAGUAGAACGCUGAAGCUUGGUGCUUGCCCCGAGCGGAUGAGUUGCGAACGGGUGAGUAACGCGUAGGUAACCUGCCUCUUAGCGGGGGAUAACUAUUGGAAACGAUAGCUAAUACCGCAUAAAAGUCGAUAUCGCAUGAUAUUGAUUUGAAAGGUGCAAAUGCAUCACUAAGAGAUGGACCUGCGUUGUAUUAGCUAGUUGGUGAGGUAACGGCUCACCAAGGCGACGAUACAUAGCCGACCUGAGAGGGUGAUCGGCCACACUGGGACUGAGACACGGCCCAGACUCCUACGGGAGGCAGCAGUAGGGAACCUUCGGCAAUGGGGGCAACCCUGACCGAGCAACGCCGCGUGAGUGAAGAAGGUUUUCGGAUCGUAAAGCUCUGUUGUAAGAGAAGAACGAGUGUGAGAGUGGAAAGUUCACACUGUGACGGUAACUUACCAGAAAGGGACGGCUAACUACGUG
rnacentral:rRNA from 1 species